UCAGUCGGUGUUUCCGGUCUGCCACCAUUCUCAGAUGAGAGGCUCUGAAGAGGACAAUGAAAACUACAUGGGCGACGGUUUGAGAAGAGAAGCCCAAGGCAGGGAUUCCUCGACUAGAAAAGGAGGAGGCUGGUGAAAAGGAGAAGCCCAAGAAGAUCAGUGACUAUGAGGCCAUUGGCGGGCACGGAGUUCACGCUGGGAUCACUCACGAUCAGCGGCCUCAGUGCGGAGGAACUCUUGAGUCAACCACAUCAACAAAGAAGCUCAGACAGAAAGCUUUAUCGGAAAUGAUAGUGACUGGUUAUGUGCCAUCAUAACUGAUAUGCCUUCAUCAGUCAUUUAAAGAGGUGAUGUUUGGGAAACCAGUGCUGUUAAAGGCUUCUGCAAACGCUGUUGUCCCUCCUGUUGACUUCCUGUACUCAGUGAUGUCCAUGCUUGGAGAUUCAGGACAGAAGUAGCCGACAACCACACAGGUUCUCUCACAGGGCUUCCAUCAGUGAAUGACCUCAGCAAACCCAGGAGCAUAGAAAGCUGGCUAGCACAACAUUUGACGAUGGCAGGAGAACGUUGCACCCACUCUCAUGAAAUAAAUGGCCCUGGACCCAUAGCCCCCUUUGGCUGUCUUGGCAGUUGAACAAAGGCGGCGGCAGUUCUACAUCCAGUCUGUAAAGCCUCAGAAGUUGCAGGCUCCAGCUUUUUUUUUUUUUUUUUUUCAUUUUUCAAGGAGCCCAUGUCAACUAUAAUGAGUGCAUUUCUGAUGCUGUGCUGAAAGCUGGCAAUGGAUGAAGCAAGAAGGUAAAAGGAGUCUAUGUCCAAGGCAAAUAGUUCCUUUAUAAACCGUUAAGAAUGAAGUGGCCUUCAUAAUCAAUUUUAAGAUCAAAUGCCUGGGCUGAAGUACCUGGUUCUGGCACUCAUUAGCUAUAAUUUGGGACAAUUAAUUUAUCUCUGAACAGUUGCUUUCUCAACUGAAAAAUGGGGCUAAUACCUGCCCAAAUUUUCCUGGGAAAUAAAUGAGAUAAUGAAGGUGCUUUGUCAGCUCCUAAGUAUCGUAUAAAUAUUAACAAACACUGAAAGACAGCUUUCCUGUGCCUGAAGUAUCAGGCUAGUGUCAAGAAGUGCCCCCCCCCCCCACUCUGAAGAAAUGAAAACAAACCAAAUCCAGCUAAACUACUGCAGAGGGAUGGUCUCCAGAGGAAGCCUCUUCGAACUCAUACUACUACUGACCUCAUGGAGUCUACGAUGCAACAGAAAUCACACACAAGCUUGGAUAAAGGGUCUGUCCCCCUGUUUUACAGGGCCACCAUCCUACAGGGUUCAGCUGUGUAAUUUUCCUCCCAGAAGUGAGAGUAAAUGUCAAGAGCAACAAUUCCUGAGAUUAAAUGUUAAUUCUUGAAUAUAUUUCUUAUGACAUUU